AUUCAAAUAAUUUAAGUUAAGAAUAUUGCAUUGAAGCUGCAAAUGUGAUCUUUAGGAUCUGUGAAUG
rnacentral:tRNA from 1 species